CAUGUCACUCAAACCAGCUGUAUUAAGGAAGGUGCAAGCUUUUGGGAUUUCUGUUUGGAUUUAGUUUAGGUUCAAAAGAGCACGCACAGAUCCUGAGUGUUGUCAAGCACCCGUGACUGGGAAACGGAGGCGUCCGAUCCGUAUUGGAGUCAAUUCGCCACUUAAUUGAACACAGCCUCGAAGGGAAGGGCCAUAUUUGUGGGCCUGUCUAACAAUUAAGAGUGACCACAUGGAAUGGGGGAUGAAAGGGUUAAAGAAGAACAAAUAUUGAACACAGCUUUUCUAUGAACAAACUGCAGGCAGCUGCUGCUUUGCAAGUUUCAGGGGUUACUCCAUCAUUAUCAUGGCAGGGAACAUGGCAGGAUGCAGGCAGAUGGUAGCUGAGAGUUCUACAUCUGGAUCCACAAAAAACCCUUUGAAAAGAUUCAGCACGUUGCCAUGGAGAACAUCCCACUGAAGGAAUGUAUAGAAGUAGCAGGGUUAACUGAGUGCCUUCCAUCUUCCCUCCAAGGGAUCUGCAAUGAGAUGGGAGAAGGCAACAGGCUGUGUGGGAACCACUGAAGCUGGGAUGGCAGGGAAAGAACAUCUUAGGCUAACUCUUCAAGCCUUGCUGUCACAUUUGCUUUUGAGUCUAUGGUGUCAGCUGCCUACCAGUUGCUUUCAUCUCUAGAAAUCUGUGACUUGCAGUAUGACAAGAACAAAAGGUGACAAUACAAAGGACAAAGGGCAAGGAAUACAGACGGAGAAGCCGCUUAGAGUCUAGGAUGGCAGAGGUUCUCUUGAUCAUUUCAUUUUUGAGCGCUUGUAGAGCUUUGGUGUACCAGAGGUGCUUGAACAGCUUACCACACCACAGAUGAAUGGCCUUUGGAUUUCUCCUAAGAAAAUGUGGCUACCUGAAAUUCAACUCCAUUUUCUGGUCUUCAAUAUUUCUUUUGUGUUCAGUUUGCCAGCUGAGGAGAAGUGGCUAAGCAUAGCCUGUUACUGAUGCUAAAGCCCAAGUUCUGAACCUAACAACUCCAGCAACAUGAUCCUGUUUCAAGAGACAAAAAA
rnacentral:lncRNA from 1 species